ensembl:lncRNA
UGAUGCUUGUAUUUUAGUCUCCUUUUUCAGUGCAGAAAGGCAGAGGAUACAAGAGGAGAGCAUCAUUUUUAUGACAACAAGGAUGCAUCCUUUGCAAUUGUGACUUCCUUUGGCUGGGAUGUGGGAUGCUGUGGCCGUCCUGCUGUGUUUUCUGUCUUUCUCUGGGACAGCUGAAUAAUGUCCGUAGCCAGACAUAUGCUCAUGGCCUGGAAUGAAGUCGACUGCAAUUACAUCCUAAGGGAGUCACUCAACGGGGGUUUUGUGGAGGCAGGACGCAGGCUCUGGUGGAGCUGCACAUGUGCUGUUAGACCUCCAACUGCACUCACUCUGCCUGCAGCUUUGUGGGAGCGAGGAGCAGCAGGCUCAGAAAUACAGCAGUCUGGUGCACAUCUGGAGACAGUAAUUGGAGCUCUGCAUAUGAAUGCAAUGUUUGUUGGGGUGGAUGGAUGCCGGUGCCAGUUUUCCACUCCAGUUUCCAGCAAAACCAAGCAGCAGCCUGACCAUGAAUCUGCUUCCAGCUCCUUUCUCUGCUCCCUGCAACAUCCUUGCUGCAGCCAUAUUAGUGCUGGGGCUCUCCUUCCCUGGCUGCUGGCUGCUGAUGUGGAUGCAGUAGGUGCACAGAUUCCUGGCAGGUGGAUGCAGCCGUCGGACAAGAGCAGCAGGCCUGUGGCGCCCAGGAUAGGAACGUGUUUGCCUGGGGAGGCAGGUGAUACCUGAAAAGGUGCAGCCAAAACUAACAAAGUGCCUGUCUCUGUGCUAGAUGAGGGCCUGUGGGGAGUUCAGGGAGUGCAGGUCUGGGCCGUGUAUCACUCUGUCCCCAGGACCAAGCUGGGAGAGGUCAGUACAUGUGCACAGCUCAGAGCAAUGCGCGCUGUGCUCCAAGGGUUGGUGGGGAGGGAUGGGAGGUUUGAAACCGUCACUGGUAUGGCUCAGGUUUGUCAGCAAAACACCAUGGUCCUGAAAUUUCAAGCCUGAGGCGGAGUUGGGAAGAACAUCCUAGAGCUCCUGGGUUUCUGUCUAGGGCUUUGGAAACAGCUUCAGUCAAAGAUUCCCCCUUCCUGAAAGGAGAGAGAUGUCAGAGUGUAAUGUUUACAUCAGUUAUGUGAAGUCCACUCAGGCCUAUUCAACCCCCUGCCUCUGCAUAACUUUUUUUGGCAAGCACUAACUAAUAAGGAAGGGAGUAAAUCUUGCUUGAAGUUAUUUUUCUUCCUGCUCCUGUGUCCCACCCCCAGGCGCCCCAUGGCAGGUGCUACAGAGGCGAAAACCAGUGCUCCUGCAGAGACAGAUUAGCAGCACACAAAAUGAUCUCCCUCCUCCUUGUGCACCCCAGAGCCCGGAAACUCCCCCAUCUCUCCAGCCUUGCAGCCCAGCUGUCCCAAACCCCAGACAGCAGGGAUGGAUAACAGCAGGCUGCUGCUCUCUGCACUGCAGCCCAGGCGAUGAAGGAGAUAAUGGGAAUGAUUUCUUGGUACAAGUACAAGCAUGAAUCCUCUGAAGAAAUUCUAACUCUAAUUGCGGUGCAAAAAAAAAAAAAAAAGAAAAAUAAAGCAAAUGCACACACGUGCA